GGGCUGGGCUCGCGCCGGGUGGAUCGGGGGGCGGCAGCAGGCUCGGCUCGGGGCAGAAGAUUCAGCUCCCCGGCUUCCACGCUGGGUUUUGCUUUUCGGAGGAGAGCGUCGGGCAGGUGAGCCCAUGCCACAACCCGGGCGCGCUUCUGUGCUGCUCGCCGUCCCAGCAGGGCAGCUAAAACACGUCCAGCACGGCAAGGACACAACCAAGAGGGACAAAGGCAUCUCCCAAUCGGGCCUUCGGGGUGGAAGAAGAGAGCCAGGACCCAAAGGAAGCAGCCGGGAGCACAGCUGGGAAGAGAUUUCACAGGGCAGGGGAGAUGGGAGCCAGGGGGCGGCUGCUGCUCGGACAUUUUGCACUGGUCGCAUCCUUCUCUUUCCACCCCACCGUUCCCCAUGGUCGGGCUGAUCCUUCCCCACCCCCAAAACCACUGCAAACCACAUUUGUAAAAGGAAAAAAAAAAAGUUUAUUUUUCUCACGAGAAGCACAUAAAAUAUACAGUACAUUUUUACAAACCAAAGUAAAAAAAAAAAGUGCAUUAUGCAUCCCCUACCGCGAACGUACAGUACAAAAGAUACUGCGUAUUUAAAUAUAAAACCAGAAUUAAGAAAUACGAUGAAAUAAAAGGAACACUGUUAUCA